GACGAACCGAGCGAACGUUGUUCGGAAUCACUGGGCUUAAAGGGCGCGUAGGCGGGUUCUCAAGUCCGGGGUGAAAUCCCACAGCUCAACUGUGGAACUGCCUCGGAUACUGGGAGUCUCGAGGGUGGCAGGGGUAUGCGGAACUAUCGGUGGAGCGGUGAAAUGCGUUGAUAUCGAUAGGAACUCCGGUGGCGAAGGCGGAUCUCUGGGCCUUACCUGACGCUCAGGUGCGAAAGCUAGGGGAGCGAACAGG
rnacentral:rRNA from 1 species